UGGGGAGCGCGGACGUCCCCAGUGUCUGGGGACAGUCCCCGUUUUGGAUGAUCCGUGCCCCGGCUAAAGGAGUCCCCGAAAAUGCCGACCUGGGUUUCAGCGUUUUAUGAAUGAUCGUUAUUACGGUAGCCGGAAACUGGAAACAGCUGUCAGUAUGUUGCUUAAAGUCUCGGGGGUCUGUGUUUUCAUCCGGGCUGAAGGUGGCGCCCUUCAGCAGGAUGGGAGGGGAGCGACUUCAGGACCGCGUUUAGAAGACCCUAUUCCCUAUUUUCCAGGAACAACCUGGUACCACUCACACUCACAUCCACACCUGGGAGCUGCAUCUGCUCAUCACCUGGACCCAUAAUGUCUCUUCAAGUGGCCACUCUGCAAAUUUGAAAUUUCCUUUGACAAAGAAAGUGUCAUGAUUUAACAAACAUACAAGUCAAUUACUUUAGUAAAAGAAAUAUGAUUUGCCUUGUUAUCUACAAGCUUAUUUUAACUGUAAUAGUGUUAAAAUAGUAAUACUUUUAUCAUAGAUAAACUAUGUCACUACUCACAGCUGCCCUGGGGCAGACUGACGGAAACAUGGCUGACAGACUGGGGACAGGGCGAAAUCAAACUGCCAACAUUUAUUUCAGUUAUUGGACGACUGCUCUACCUCCUGAGCUACUGCCAGACUACUUUAUCAGAGAAAGCAACUAAUUACUCCUGCUACUUAUUCUAACUUAUUUGUUUUCCUUCCUUUCUUCUGAGAAAUGUCCAUGCAAAUUGUUACCUUACUUUUCAGACUUGUGUAACAAGUAUAAAUAAAUAAAUUUUAAGUUGUGCUAACGGAA